rnacentral:piRNA from 1 species
UUGCCAUGAUGGUUUGAACCAGCAC